AGUGGCGUGAGAAUGAACGCUGCGAAUCAUGGUGUCCAACAUAGCCAGUGUGGCUGAAUGGAGCUGCAGGAUAUGCGUCCAUCACAGUAAAUGAAUGGCAGUGGUGACAAUGAGGCCUGUAGCAUUU
rnacentral:snoRNA from 13 species